CCUUAUUUUGUAAUGAUAUAAGUGUGGGCUUGGUUCAUGGUUGUUGAAGGCUUAACAGUCUUCUCAACUGAAAUACACGAGCUACCUAUUUUAUAAUAGACGGUUUGACUCGGCGUAAUAACUAUUUCGCUGAGGACGUCCUUUUAUAAUAGUAAAUGGUGCUUCUAAUUUAACAUCAAUUUAAGAUUUAGACCUCAAAUCAGUCAGGACUACCCGCUGAACUUAAGCAUAUCAAUAAGCGGAGGAAAAGAAACUAACAAGGAUUCCCCUAGUAACGGCGAGUGAAGUGGGAAAAGCUCAACUUUGUAAUCUGGCAGCUUUGCUGUCCGAGUUGUAGUCUCGAGAAAUGUUUUCCGCGCUGGCAUGUGUAUGAGUCUGUUGGAAUACAGCGUCAUAGAGGGUGAGAACCCCGUUCAUGACACAUCUCCCAGUGCUUUNUGAUACAUUUUCGAUGAGUCGAGUUGUUUGGGAAUGCAGCUCAAAAUGGGUGGUAAAUUCCAUCUAAAGCUAAAUAUUGGCGAGAGACCGAUAGCAAACAAGUACCGUGAGGGAAAGAUGAAAAGCACUUUGGAAAGAGAGUUAAAAGUACGNGAAAUUGUUGAAAGGGAAACGCUUGAAGUCAGACGUGCGCAGUGCGAUUCAGCUCUAUUUCGGUAGAGUGUAUUUCGUGCUAUUGCAGGCCAGCAUCGGUUUUGCGAGCCGGAUAAAGGUUAGUGGAAGGUAGCAUCNUCGGAUGUGUUAUAGCCUCUAACUGAAUACGGAUUGCGAGACCGAGG
rnacentral:rRNA from 1 species